UGACCUCGAUCAGUACGU
rnacentral:rRNA from 1 species